rnacentral:rRNA from 1 species
UACAGAGGUCUCAAGCGUUGUUCGGAUUCAUUGGGCGUAAAGGGUGCGUAGGCGGCGCGGUAAGUCGGGUGUGAAAUCUCGGAGCUUAACUCCGAAACUGCAUUCGAUACUGCCGUGCUUGAGGACUGGAGAGGAGACUGGAAUUUACGGUGUAGCGGUGAAAUGCGUAGAUAUCGUAAGGAACAUCAGUGGCGAAAGCGGCUUCCUGGACCAGCACCGACGUUCAGGCACGAAAGCGUGGGGAGCAAACAGG